rnacentral:rRNA from 1 species
UACGUAGGGUGCGAGCGUUGUCCGGAAUUAUUGGGCGUAAAGAGCUCGUAGGCGGUUUGUCGCGUCGACUGUGAAAACCUGGGGCUUAACUCUGGGCCUGCAGUCGAUACGGGCAGACUUGAGUUCGGUAGGGGAGACUGGAAUUCCUGGUGUAGCGGUGAAAUGCGUAGAGAUCCGGAGGAACCCCAGAGGCGAAGGCGGCGUCCUGGCUCGCAUCUGACGCUCAGACACGACAGCAUGGGGAGCGAACGGG